ACGCACGCUGGCGGCGUGCCUCACACAUGCAAGUCGAACGGAAAGGCCCUGCUUUUGUGGGGUGCUCGAGUGGCGAACGGGUGAGUAACACGUGAGUAACCUGCCCUUGACUUUGGGAUAACUUCAGGAAACUGGGGCUAAUACCGGAUAGGAGCUCCUGCUGCAUGGUGGGGGUUGGAAAGUUUCGGCGGUUGGGGAUGGACUCGCGGCUUAUCAGCUUGUUGGUGGGGUAGUGGCUUACCAAGGCUUUGACGGGUAGCCGGCCUGAGAGGGUGACCGGCCACAUUGGGACUGAGAUACGGCCCAGACUCCUACGGGAGGCAGCAGUGGGGAAUAUUGCACAAUGGGCGGAAGCCUGAUGCAGCAACGCCGCGUGCGGGAUGACGGCCUUCGGGUUGUAAACCGCUUUCGCCUGUGACGAAGCGUGAGUGACGGUAAUGGGUAAAGAAGCACCGGCUAACUACGUG
rnacentral:rRNA from 1 species